rnacentral:tRNA from 1 species
GCAUCCGUAGCUGAGCUGGAUAGAGUACUAGGAUACGAACCGAGCGGUCGGAGGUUCGAAUCCUCCCGGAUGCACCA